UUUAUGUCUAUACGAGUAUUCAAAAAAGUUAGUACACACAAAGUUCACAAGAAAAUUCUCAGUUAAUAUCGAUGAAAUUUUUCUUUCCGUUUUCAUCAAUCAAAGCAAAAUUGAUUUUGUUAUACCCGACCUGCAUUCGAAAGAAUCAUUUGUGCUGUUCUCAGGAGCGAACGACUCUAUCCGCCAGUUGGUUGAAAUAGUUGUUUAAUGGAACAACUCGAUGGAUACAACCGACAUAACGCAGCCUAGUUUUUUAAACGCCGUUCAAUCGUUUACCUUCGAGAAGAGCCCGAAGCAUCAGAGGCAGUCCUCCAUGGAUCGAGCUAAGAACUUUUGUAACGAUGUCAUAGAGCAGACCCUCAGAUGGAGCGGGAGCUUCAACGAUUAUGCCUCUGAUAUCGCUUUCGCCGGACCAAUACCUCAGAAGAUGGGCCUCGUUGUUCCCAUCACAUGCUAGAGGCACGGUGGUGAAUCGAUUAUGAAUGGGAGAAGAUCGGCAAUAAUUAUAAGAGUAGGAAAAACUCUAUGGAAAGGGAAAUAUCUGCACGGAACAGAGAAACGCGGCCGCCACCAAAGACCUCCACCCAGAGGCCCUCGAUAUCAACAGAUGACUGUGACUGAACUCAAAGGACGGCGCACAAAUAGGUUUGGUCGUAUGCUCAGGUCUAGCUCGCCGGAUGGUCGGCGUUCUUCCUCACCUAAUUGUACUAUUGUACUCCACUACAUUUAUAUAGAGCCCUUUAUGGAAAACUGUAAGAAAUUAUACAAAACAAAGUACACUGAAAUGCUGAUGGCGCCGACACGAGAAAUGAAAAGCCCUACUGAACUCGUUCUAUUUGGAGGGGACCUAGAUGUUGAUUGUCCCUCUCUUCUGUACCUACCCUACCAUGACAAUGACUUCGAGUUCCUGCAUUGUCCCUUGAUCCUGGCGCGGAUACGCGACCGACCGUUUUUAUGAUUUCAAAGAUUAAUUUCAAUUCACAAUGAUUCAUUAAUAUAAGCUUAUAUAUGGGGAAAUAUGUGUAUAUGGUUCCGAAUAGCACUAUAUAUGUGUGUGUGCAAUGUGUAUGUUGGCUCGCACUUGGGAAUUAAGGAUCUUUCCGUUUUCCUUACUCUCAUAACUAUUGCGAAUCUCCUCCCGUAAUCGAUUCGCAACUGGAUGGCCUCCAACAUGGUGAUAGGACUAACGCGGUCUUUCUUCUCAGGCAUUUAUCCGGCAAAGGCGAUUUCAAAGUCAUAUUCGUUAAAGCUCUCCCUCCAAAUGAGGGUCUGCGCUACGACAUCUUUACAACAGUUCACUUUGCCGUGGCAUCGAAGAACACUACAUUCAGAUUCGAUAGAAGCAAAUUUCGUUAAUGACAGCAUCCGCAUGACCGUAUAUUCGGGCACAACGGAUCCGAAGCCGUAGCAGUCCUCGAAUGAUUGGAUCUUCAUAGUAAACUUGCAAUUACAAAUGUACAAAAAUGCAAUGAAUUGCAUUGAAUCGAAUGAAUAAAAGACGAGCGCUCUUUUAUUUGAA